rnacentral:sRNA from 1 species
GCGCGCUGGAGCUGACCUCUCCCGGCGGCGGGCGGUUAGGGGAAAGUACCUGGGAGAAAGGUAGAGGAGGUAAGGGGACCCUUGGGGGGUGCCCCUACGGGCUACCAGGGUUGAACGCACAGGCAUGGUCACGUCGGGGUAUUGCCAAGCUUUUGGCGCAGCUGGUCGGGUGGCCAGGCUGCAUGCGGCUUAGCAGGAGACGUCCUGGGCUGUUUGCGCAGGACCUCUGGAGGCCCUCGAGAUGGUCGCAAGCGGAAAGGUGCUGGAGAAUCUGGUAAAAGCACCAUUGUGAAGCAGAUGAGGAUCCUGCAUGUUAAUGGGUUUAAUGGAGACAGUGAGAAGGCAACCAAAGUGCAGGACAUCAAAAACAACCUGAAAGAGGCGAUUGAAACCAUUGUGGCCGCCAUGAGCAACCUGGUGCCCCCCGUGGAGCUGGCCAACCCCGAGAACCAGUUCAGAGUGGACUACAUUCUGAGUGUGAUGAACGUGCCUG